rnacentral:rRNA from 1 species
GACAGAGGGUGCAAACGUUGCUCGGAAUCACUGGGCGUAAAGCGCGCGUAGGCGGUUAUCUAAGUCGGAUGUGAAAGCCCUCGGCUUAACUGAGGAAGUGCACCCGAAACUGGAUAGCUAGAGUACGAAAGAGGGUCGCGGAAUUCCCGGUGUAGAGGUGAAAUUCGUAGAUAUCGGGAGGAACACCGGUGGCGAAGGCGGCGACCUGGGUCGAGACUGACGCUGAUGCGCGAAAGCGUGGGUAGCAAACAGG